rnacentral:lncRNA from 1 species
CAGCUAAUCACAAAACCUAUACUAGACGAAACGACGAUAUAUAUAAAGUAUCCAAAACCCUAGUUUCCAAUUUGUUGGGCGGGGUAGAAAAACUUAGGCCCAAUAAGCAUGAUCAUGACGGAUUAAUAUCAUCUGAGGCCCCUAAGUACGAUGUCAUCUCUCCCCCUUAAAAGAACGUAUACUUUAAUAUUGUAUAAAUUUUCUGUGCUAUAAUCCACCCCGAUUCCUUAACACCCACCUGAUUUGACAAUAGCCAAUAUGAUAAAAACACACACAUGUUCAACUUUUAAAUUUGUUUCCUUGCAUGCUGCAUACAUGUAAAAGAUAAAUGAUUGACAUGUCACUGUAAAUCAUGACAUAUCCGAAGCUAUCAUCUAACUAGACGGUGAGGAUGCAGUUCAGCUGAGCAAAGUGUAAAUUUCAAUAUAUUAAUUAUCCCAACAAAAUGCGUACCUGCAAAGGUAAACUCAAUGCUGAGCUUAACUGUUGAGUUGUGGUGGAGCUAUAUUAAACAGUGUUUUAGGACCAACUUUUCUCUUAAUAUGAGAAACUAGGUGUAGGUGAGAUGAGGUAGGUAAUUAAAGUUUGUAAGCCACAGCUCUCACUUUUAGCAAUCAAAUUCUUCCUCAAGCCCAAUCACCUUCACCUGUAAGGCUGAACUUUUAGAUAAACCGUAUCUGCCUCUCCUGCCUGUGUCUAUCUGCGUAGUAUUUCAUUCUGUCCUGAGCCUCUUUAAGCUGGUCGACCCAUAAUCUUCUCAUUUGCUCCCUUUCCCUCAACAUUUCUUCUAUAGAUGAAACCUUAGCCAUGUUGGCACAUAAUUAAAUUAACCUUGCACAAAUAAAUUAUGAAAAGUUAGAAGAGUGAAGAGACUUGAAUACGAAAAGUGAAAAAACUUGAAUAUGAAUAGUGAAGAGACUUGAAGAUGAAAAGUUAAGAGGCUUGAAUAUGAAAAGAUACACACAUGCAUGAAUAGUCACAACUCCUAGCAUAUAGUGAUAUAGAUGAAUAGUCACUUACAACUCCUAUAUAAAGAGUUGUAUGUGAUGAAGAAUCAUUAACUUUGUGUGCUUGAAAUAAAAGAUUAUUUGAAAGAAUUUUUCCAUACAAAAUUUAUUUCUCUUCUCCAUUAUAUUCUUUAUCAUUUUUUUUAUUUUAUUUCUCCAAAUAUUAAUCAUUCAACUACAAAUUGGUAUCAGAGCCUUGUUCGAUCGAAAUGAACAAUUCUAUUCCUCUUUCUUCCGUUCCCCAAUUAACCAAAGAAAAUUAUGGCAAAUGGAGUAUCCAAAUGAAGGCUCUUCUUGGAUCUCUAGAAGUUUGGGAGAUUGUUGAAAAAGGUUAUAAUGAAGUUGAGGCUGAAGAGGAGGAAGGAUUAACACAAGUUCAAAAAGAGAGUCUAAGAAAAUCAAGGAAGAAAAAUCAGCAAGCCUUAUUUUGGAUAUAUCAAGGAGUUCAAUCAUAUGAAGCGGCUUGGGAAAAAAUAGCUUGUGCCACCACGGCAAAACAAGCAUGGGAAUUUUUACAAAAUUCAUUCAAAGGAGAUGAAAAGGUGAAAAGAGUUCGGUUGCAAACUCUUCGAGGAGAGUUUGAAAGAUUACAAAAAACAGAGUUAGAAUCAGUUUCUGAUUACUGUUCACGGGUUUUGUCCAUAGUCAAUCAAUUAAAAAGAAAUGGUGAAACUAUGGAUGAUAUUCAUGGUGUUGAGAAAAUCCUCCGUUCUUUAGAUUCCAGAUUUGACUACAUUGUGGUUGCCAUUGAAGAAUCAAAGGACUUGAGUACCAUGACUAUUGAUGAACUCACAGGUUCAUUGCAAGCUCAUGAAGAAAGAUUAAACAAGAAGAAAAAGGAAGUAGAUCUAGAUCAAGCACUCCAGUCAAAGUUGUCUCUAAAUGAGAAGAAGGGAGAUUUUAAAAAUCAAAGAGGGAGAGAUCAUGGUCGUGGAAGAGGAAGAAAUUUUAGAGGAAGAGGCUCAAAUGCUCGUGAAACAGGUGAAUAUGUAAGCACGGAGAAUGGAUGGAAAGAAACCAACCAAAGUCAAAAUUUUAGAGGAUCACAAAGAGGACGUGGACGUGGAAAUCAAAGAGGAAAAGGUCGUGGCUAUUUUGAAUGUUAUAAUUGUCGCAAACCUGGUCAUUUGGCAAGUGAAUGCUGGUACAAAAAAAAGAGAAAAAUGAAGCUAAUAUAGUACAAAAUAAUCAAGAGCAAAAGCAAGAAACUUUGUUGCUCGUAUCUCAUGGUGGAGAGAUUGAUGAUGUCUGGUACAUAGACAGUGGUGCUAGCAAGCAUAUGACAGGUAACAAAAAUUUAUUUUCGAAGUUCUUUGAAUCUGAUUGUGGAGAAGUAAAAGUAGGAGAUGGCAAAGCUUACAAAGUUAGCGGUGUUGGUGAGUUGGAGUUCAAAACAAAGCAAGGAAGGGUAGAGAAAAUGUCUGAAGUUUAUUUUGUUCCUGGUCUUAAAAAUAAUCUGCUUAGCAUUGGGCAUCUCUUGAAGAAGGGAUAUGAUAUUCAUUUCCGAGACAUGGCUUGCUAUUUAUCAAAGAAAAAUCAGGUUGUUGCUAGAGUUGGAGUGGCAUCAAAUAAUCUUUUCUCUCUUACCCUUCAAAAUCAGAAUAUGUCUUGUUUUAUUGGUGCUCAUAAAGGAAUUUCAAAGUUAUGGCAUGAUAGAUAUGAACAUUUAAACUAUGGAAAUUUGGAGAUGCUUUCAAGGAAGAUGAUGGUUAGAGGUUUACCAAAAAUCGAUCGGCUUGAUGAUGUUUGUGAAGCAUGUCAACUUGGAAAGCAACACAAAAUUGCUUUUCCUUCUCAAUCCUCGUGGAAAGCAAGAAGACCAUUGCAACUUAUUCACUCAGAUCUUUGUGGUCCAAUGACAGUUUCAUCUUUAGGAGGUAAUCGUUACUUUAUCUCUUUCAUUGAUGAUUACUCAAGAAAGUUAUGGGUGUAUUGUGUCAAAGAAAAAUCAGAGGCUUUUCAGAGAUUCAAAGAUUUCAAGGCAGAAGUGGAGAACUUUACUGGGCUGAAAAUUAACACCUUGCGUACAGAUCGUGGAGGUGAAUAUCUUUCAAAAGAAUUUGAGAAAUAUUGUCGAGAUAGUGGCAUCCGGUAUGAAAUGACAUUCCGCCAUACACCUCAGCAAAAUGGUGUGUGUGAAAGAAAGAACAAAACAAUUAUGGAAAUGGCUAGAUGUCUUCUUAAGAAGAAGAGGUUAUCAAGAAGAUUUUGGGCUGAAGCUGUUUCCUGUGCAGUUUAUCUUAUAAACAGAUCACCGACAAGAAGCUUGGAGAAUUGCACACCACAUGAGGCGUGGUAUGGUAUAAAGCCUAGUGUUAGUCAUCUUAGAGUAUUUGGGAGUGUUGCCUACUCUCAUAUUCCAGAUGCAAUGAGAAGCAAGUUGGAUGACAAGUCAGAGAAAUGCAUUUUCAUUGGCUAUAGUGAAAGAAGUAAGGCAUACAAGUUGUACAAUCCGGUGACAAAGAAGAUUGUGAUAAGCCGAGAUGUUCGGUUUGAUGAAAAUUCCAUGUUUGAAUAUAUGGAAGUUGAAAAGGAAAAUUUGCCAAUUUUUCCUUUUGAACUUGAAAAAGAAGAAGAGGCAGUAAUUGAGAAUGCUGAAGAUGAUGCUCAAGUAGAAAAUCCUCCUGCUUCCCCAAGUGCUUCAUCAAAUUCUUCUUCAUCCAGCCCGAUCCGAAAAACGAGAAGCAUCCAAGAGUUAUAUGAUGUAACGGAUGAAGUUGUGCAAAAUGAUGCUGUAUUCUUUGCCUUCUUUGCAGGAGAAGAUCCAAUUUCUUUUGAUGAUGCAUAUCAAGAAGAAAUAUGGAGGAAAGCCAUGAAAGAAGAGAUUUGCUCAAUUGAAAACAAUGAUACAUGGGAACUCACAGAUUUACCACCGCACAAGAAUUCAAUUGGAGUCAAAUGGGUGUACAAGACAAAGAUGAAUCCGAAUGGCUCUAUCAACAAGUACAAGGCAAGAGUGGUUGCAAAAGGAUACAAGCAAAAGGAAGGAGAAGAUUUUACAGAGGUAUUUGCUCCAGUUUCAAGACUUGAGACAGUUCGGUUACUUAUUUCUCUUGUUGCCCAAAACAAUUGGAAAAUGUUCCAAAUGGACGUAAAAUCUGCGCUUUUGAAUAGUGUUCUCAAAGAAGAAGUCUAUGUUGAUCAACCACCAGGGUUUGUCAAAAAAGGAGAAGAAGAAAAAGUUUACAAGUUGAAGAAAGCUUUGUACGGGUUGAAGCAAUCACCCAGAGCAUGGUACAGCCGCAUCGGUUCUUAUUUUCAGAAGUGUGGAUUCCAGAAAUCUCCAUAUGAGCAUACUCUCUACAUCAAAGGCAAUUAUCGAGGAAGAUUCAUGGUUGUAAGUCUCUACGUUGAUGAUCUUAUUUUCACAGGAAAUGAUGUGAAGAUGUUGAAAGAAUUUCAGCACUCAAUGAUGGCAGAAUUUAAGAUGACAGAUUUGGGAGAACUUCAUCAUUUUCUUGGCAUUGAAGUUCAUCAAUCCGAGAAAGGAAUUUUUAUUUCACAAGAGAGCUACGCAAAGGAAGUUCUAAAAAAAUUCAUGAUGGAAAAUGCGAAUCCAGUCUCUACUCCAUGCAUUACAGGUCUGAAGUUAUCUAAAGAGGGUGAAGGAAAGCUUGUCAAUUCCACCAUAUUCAGAAGUUUGGUUGGGAAGUUGAUGUAUCUGACUUCGACAAGGCCUGAUAUCGUGUAUGCUGUUAGCUUGGUAAGUAGAUUCAUGGAGAAACCUUACUCCAAUCACUGGGAGGCUGCCAAGAGAAUAUUGAGAUAUGUGAAGGGAACCAUUGAUUAUGGAAUUUUCUAUAAAGCUAAUACAUUAGUUGAUCUCAUUGGUUAUACGGAUAGUGAUUUAGCAGGAAGCAUUGAUGAUAGCAGAAGCACUUCUGGUUAUGUUUUUCACCUUGUUAGUGGUGCAGUUUCAUGGAGUUCAAAGAAACAAUCAAUUGUGGCGCUUUCGACUACAGAAGCUGAAUAUAUCGCUGCAUCUUAUGCAGGAUGUCAAUUGAUUUGGUUACGUGGAAUUUUGGAAAGUCUUAAGCAGAAGCAAAGCAAGUCAACAAUUUUGUUUUGUGACAAUAGUUCUACUAUUUGGGUCACAAAAGAUCCAGUUCUUCAUAGAAGGACAGAACACAUUCGCAUUCGAUAUCACUUUUUGAGGGAACUAGUGAAUAAUGGUGAUGUUCAAGUUGAAUAUUGCAAGACGGAAGAUCAGAUGGCUGAUAUCUUCACAAAGCCUCUAAGUGGACAAGUCUUCAAGAAAAAUGUUGAAAGGUUGGGAGUUCAAAGCAAGUUUAAUUUAAGGGAGGCAUUGUUGGAACAUAAUUAAAUUAACCUUGCACAAAUAAAUUAUAAAAAGUUAGAAGAGUGAAGAGACUUGAAUAUGAAAAGUGAAAAAACUUGAAUAUGAAUAGUGAAGAGACUUGAAGAUGAAAAGUUAAGAGGCUUGAAUAUGAAAAGAUACACACAUGCAUGAAUAGUCACAACUCCUAGCAUAUAGUGAUAUAGAUGAAUAGUCACUUACAACUCCUAUAUAAAGAGUUGUAUGUGAUGAAGAAUCAUUAACUUUGUGUGCUUGAAAUAAAAGAUUAUUUGAAAGAAUUUUUCCAUACAAAAUUUAUUUCUCUUCUCCAUUAUAUUCUUUAUCAUUUUUUUUGUUUUAUUUCUCCAAAUAUUAAUCAUUCAACUACAAGCCAAAGAGCUAGUCAUAUCAAUGUAAGACCUUAAAAAGAAUCCUUCCCAAACCAAAAUGAAAUGCUACAUUGGAAAUUUGAAAUUUAAGGAUAAAGUAUAUGUUAGUAAUAUUUAAGAUUUUCAUAAUAGAAACUCGAUUCAAUACUUGGUAUAACGUCAAGUCUUGAGUUCAAUAAAACAAAGUAUAUCAUCGGUAUAUGACUACUACCACUAUAAAAAAUAUAUAAUAUAUUGUUGUUGGAUAAAAAAAUUUAAUUACUCAUAAUAAUAAGGGGAAAGGUGGGUAUUAUACUCCUAAUAGAUUAGUUAUAAUUAUAAGAAUACUUUUGAUGGGAUCUACCUAUGUGAGUUUUAAGUCUAAGUGUUUUUAGGAGUUUAAAUGCUUGACUCUUAACAAUAUUCAUGGAAAAAGGUUAUAGACACACGACCAUAAUAGUGUCUCCGAAUACUAUGCAUUAGCUAGUGUUGAACUUGUUGUGUAAGAUGUGUUCGAUUAAUGAAGUAUAAUAAUUGGUUCAUAACCUGGUUUACCAUGCAAUCUUGAUUAACUUCAAUAUGUUUUCACUAUGUGAAAGUUCAAUCAUAACGUACUUCUAUUUAUGCAAUUAGUUUUCAAGAUUAUCAAAAUCUAAAAUGUUUUAAAAAUGAGAGAGAUUGUUGAAACAUUUUAAAAAUAUGCAUAAUGUUCCAAUAAUUGUAAAUGAAAAGUUAUAAGUAACCAAAAGUGAUGAGUUAUACUUCUCUUGUUACUAAAAGUUCUGUCGCUUGAUUGUCAACGAGAAAUUAUGGUUAUUCAAUUAAUAUCUAUUGAAUAGUAAUAUUCAAUGUUGAUAGUUGUGACUAUCCAAAUAGGUAUAUAUUAAAUAGUUAUAUCUCUAUGAAGAAAUAUGGAAGCUUCUAUAAAUAGGAGGCAAAUUUCAUUUGCAAUACAUACAAAUAAGUACUCGAAGACAAAGUUUCGUUUUGUUCUCUUCUAACUUCUAAUAUUCGUAGAUUAUUCUAUAAAAACCAUUUCUUUAUAAAAAUGAAUAUCCUUACUCAAUGUUUAAUAGAUUAUUUUCAUUGGUGCAAAACGCAAAUUACUACUAGACUUCAUUGUAUCCUCAAAAUUUAUUUAGGAUAACGCGUAAAUUUAUCUUUAUAAGUUAAAUAUUGUCUCACUAUUUUAUUUUGUUUGUUAUUUUUUAUUGUACUUUGAGUUAAAUUAUAUUUAUCACUAUAUUUUAUUUUACUUUUGUUUUAUUGAAUUUUGUCACUAAAAUUUAAUUUUUGUUUUUAAAUUUAAAUAUAUUAUUUGAGUUUAAUUUAAUAAUUAAAAAAUAAUAACACAAUUAAUAAAAUUU